CCCAGCAUGGCUCCUGUCUCCUAGCUUUCGCUUAACUUUUCACAACGGGCCAGGCAGAGCUAAGUGGUGGGCGGGGUCAUGGCACUGCACUGGGAGAAGAGAGGAGACUGGCUGCCAUGUGUCUGCUCUCUUACUAGCAAGUGAGAUGAUAGACAGAGUCAGAGAACAGGUGCACUGGGGACGUGGAGCCCGUGAGACCCCCUUACCGGAACUAGUCCUGAUCAGAGGUUCCAUUGAAGGAAACAACAAAUGUGUAUUGCUUUAUAGUAAAGGUCUUCCUUAAAACUGGAUGUCAUCUCCUGCAGCAUGCCUUUGAUAUUAUAUUUAGAGGGUAGCUGUCUCAGGUAGAUAAUAGGCCCCGAACUGAUGAAUGAAGGAAGGAGCAGCUAAGCUAUUUAAUUCACUGCCAGCACAAGACAAUGUCUUUUAAAUGUAAUAACUUUUAAAAAAAAUGUCUGUACCUCUAUGCAUAACCUUGGAUAGUCUAAUUCUAAUUACAUCAACUUCUGUGAUUGGCUGUGAUUGUUUAAUUUUCUUUAAAUAUAUUUGUGUAUUCAGAAGAUGCCCAGACUAUGAUUAAGUGCCCACAAGGCACGAAAUGCAUAAGGCUACAGCAUUUGAGAUGUUUUUUGUUAAAUAAAAUAUACU